GACGAACGCUGGCGGCGUGCUUAACACAUGCAAGUCGAACGGAAAGGCCCUGCUUUUGUGGGGUGCUCGAGUGGCGAACGGGUGAGUAACACGUGAGUAACCUGCCCUUGACUUUGGGAUAACUUCAGGAAACUGGGGCUAAUACCGGAUAGGAGCUCCUGCUGCAUGGUGGGGGUUGGAAAGUUUCGGCGGUUGGGGAUGGACUCGCGGCUUAUCAGCUUGUUGGUGGGGUAGUGGCUUACCAAGGCUUUGACGGGUAGCCAGCCUGAGAGGGUGACCGGCCACAGUGGGACUGAGAUACGGCCAAGACUCCUACGGGAGGCAGCAGUGGGGAAUAUUGCACAAUGGGCGGAAGCCUGAUGCAGCAACGCCGCGUGCGGGAUGACGGCCUUCGGGUUGUAAACCGCUUUCGCCUGUGACGAAGCGUGAGUGACGGUAAUGGGUAAAGAAGCACCGGCUAACUACGUG
rnacentral:rRNA from 1 species